AGAGUUUGAUCCUGGCUCAGAUUGAACGCUGGCGGCAUGCCUAACACAUGCAAGUCGAACGGCAGCACAGUGUGUAGCAAUACACAUGGGUGGCGAGUGGCGGACGGGUGAGGAAUACAUAGGAAUCUGCCUUGUAGCGGGGGAUAGUCCGGGGAAACUCGGGGUAAUACCGCAUACGACCUACGGGUGAAAGAGGGGGAUCGUAAGACCUCUCACUAUAAGAUGAGCCUAUGUCCGAUUAGCUAGUUGGUGGGGUAAAGGCCUACCAAGGCGACGAUCGGUAGCUGGUCUGAGAGGACGACCAGCCACAUCGGAACUGAGACACGGUCCGAACUCCUACGGGAGGCAGCAGUGGGGAAUAUUGGACAAUGGGCGAAAGCCUGAUCCAGCAAUGCCGCGUGUGUGAAGAAGGCCUUCGGGUUGUAAAGCACUUUAAGCAGGGAAGAAAAAGCAUCACUUAAUACGUGAAGCCUUGACGGUACCUGCAGAAUAAGCACCGGCUAACUCUGUGCCAGCAGCCGCGGUAAUACAGAGGGUGCAAGCGUUAAUCGGAUUUACUGGGCGUAAAGCGUGCGUAGGCGGUUCAGUAUGUCGGUCGUGAAAUCCCCGGGCUCAACCUGGGAACUGCGGCCGAAACUGCUGGGCUUGAGUGUGGUAGAGGGCGGUGGAAUUCCGGGUGUAGCGGUGAAAUGCGUAGAGAUCCGGAGGAACAUCAAUGGCGAAGGCAGCCGCCUGGGCCACAACUGACGCUGAGGUACGAAAGCGUGGGGAGCAAACAGGAUUAGAUACCCUGGUAGUCC
rnacentral:rRNA from 1 species